UACGUAGGGUGCGAGCGUUAAUCGGAAUUACUGGGCGUAAAGCGUGCGCAGGCGGUUUGUUAAGACAGAUGUGAAAUCCCCGGGCUUAACUUGGGAAUGGCGUUUGAAACUACGGAGCUGGAGUGUGGCAGAGGGAGGUAGAAUUCCACGUGUAGCGGUGAAAUGCGUAGAUAUGUGGAGGAAUACCGAUGGCGAAGGCAGCCUCCUGGGCCAACACUGACGCUCAUGCACGAAAGCGUGGGGAGCAAACAGG
rnacentral:rRNA from 1 species